rnacentral:rRNA from 1 species
UAAGGUGAUAUGAACCGUUAUAACCGGCGAUACCCGAAUGGGGAAACCCAGUGUGAUUCGUCACACUAUCAUUAACUGAAUCCAUAGGUUAAUGAGGCGAACCGGGGGAACUGAAACAUCUAAGUACCCCGAGGAAAAGAAAUCAACCGAGAUUCCCCCAGUAGCGGCGAGCGAACGGGGAGGAGCCCAGAGCCUGAAUCAGCAUGUGUGUUAGUGGAAGCGUCUGGAAAGGCGCGCGAUACAGGGUGACAGCCCCGUACACAAAAGCGCAUGUGCUGUGAGCUCGAUGAGUAGGGCGGGACACGUGGUAUCCUGUCUGAAUAUGGGGGGACCAUCCUCCAAGGCUAAAUACUCCUGACUGACCGAUAGUGAACCAGUACCGUGAGGGAAAGGCGAAAAGAACCCCGGCGAGGGGAGUGAAAAAGAACCUGAAACCGUGUACGUACAAGCAGUGGGAGCNNGGGCGUUAAGUUGCAGGGUAUAGACCCGAAACCCGGUGAUCUAGCCAUGGGCAGGUUGAAGGUUGGGUAACACUAACUGGAGGACCGAACCGACUAAUGUUGAAAAAUUAGCGGAUGACCUGUGGCUGGGGGUGAAAGGCCAAUCAAACCGGGAGAUAGCUGGUUCUCCCCGAAAGCUAUUUAGGUAGCGCCUCGUGAAUUCAUCUCCGGGGGUAGAGCACUGUUUCGGCUAGGGGGCCAUCCCGGCUUACCAACCCGAUGCAAACUGCGAAUACCGGAGAAUGUUAUCACGGGAGACACACGGCGGGUGCUAACGUCCGUCGUGAAGAGGGAAACAACCCAGACCGCCAGCUAAGGUCCCAAAGUCAUGGUUAAGUGGGAAACGAUGUGGGAAGGCCCAGACAGCCAGGAUGUUGGCUUAGAAGCAGCCAUCAUUUAAAGAAAGCGUAAUAGCUCACUGGUCGAGUCGGCCUGCGCGGAAGAUGUAACGGGGCUAAACCAUGCACCGAAGCUGCGGCAGCGACGCUGAUGCGUUGUUGGGUAGGGGAGCGUUCUGUAAGCCUGCGAAGGUGACCUGUGAGGGUUGCUGGAGGUAUCAGAAGUGCGAAUGCUGACAUAAGUAACGAUAAAGCGGGUGAAAAGCCCGCUCGCCGGAAGACCAAGGGUUCCUGUCCUCAGCUAACUGGGGCAGG